ensembl:snRNA U6 U6 spliceosomal RNA
GUGCUCCCUUCAGCAGCACAUCCACUAAAACUGGAACCAUACAGAGAAGAUUAUUGAAGGCCCUGGAGGGGGGGGACACGAAAAUUUGCCACUUGGUCGAUAUUUUU